rnacentral:rRNA from 1 species
GAGCUGUGAUGGGGAAGCUCCUUAUGGAGCGAAGUCUUUGAUUACCCGCUGCCAAGAAAAGCUUCGAGCGAGAUAAAAGGUGCCUGUACCGCAAACCGACACAGGUAGGCGAGGAGAGAAUCCUAAGGUGUGCGAGAGAACUCUGGUUAAGGAACUCGGCAAAAUGACCCCGAAACUUCGGGAGAAGGGGUGCUUUCUUAACGGAAACCCGCAGAGAAUAGGCCCAAGCGACAGUAUAGCAAAAACACAGCUCUCUGCGAAGCCG